GAUGAACGCUAGCUACAGGCUUAACACAUGCAAGCCGAGGGGAAACGAUAUUGGAAGCUUGCUUCCGAUAGGCGUCGACCGGCGCACGGGUGAGUAACGCGUAUCCAACCUGCCCACCACUUGGGGAUAACCUUGCGAAAGUAAGACUAAUACCCACUGAUAUCCAUAGAAGACAUCCGCAAUGGAUUAAAGCUUUACCGGUGAUGGACGGGGAUGCGUCUGAUUAGCUGGUUGGUGGGGUAACGGCCCACCAAGGGAACGAUCAGUAGGGGGUCUGGAAGGAGGGUCCCCCACAUUGGAACUGAGACACGGUCCAAACUCCUACGGGAGGCAGCAGUGAGGAAUAUUGGUCAAUGGGCGAGAGCCUGAACCAGCCAAGUAGCGUGCAGGAUGACGGCCCUAUGGGUUGUAAACUGCUUUUAUAAGGGAAUAAAGUGGGAGUCGUGACUCCUUUUGCAUGUACCUUAUGAAUAAGGACCGGCUAAUUCCGUGCCAGCCGCCGCGGUAACAC
rnacentral:rRNA from 1 species